rnacentral:rRNA from 2 species
ACGCUGGCGGCGUGCCUAAUACAUGCAAGUCGAGCGGACUUGAUGGAGUGCUUGCACUCCUGAGAGUUAGCGGCGGACGGGUGAGUAACACGUAGGCAACCUGCCCUCAAGACUGGGAUAACUACCGGAAACGGUAGCUAAUACCGGAUAAUUUAUUUCGCAGCAUUGUGGAAUAAUGAAAGACGGAGCAAUCUGUCACUUGGGGAUGGGCCUGCGGCGCAUUAGCUAGUUGGUGGGGUAAUGGCUCACCAAGGCGACGAUGCGUAGCCGACCUGAGAGGGUGAACGGCCACACUGGGACUGAGACACGGCCCAGACUCCUACGGGAGGCAGCAGUAGGGAAUCUUCCGCAAUGGGCGAAAGCCUGACGGAGCAACGCCACGUGAGUGAUGAAGGUUUUCGGAUCGUAAAGCUCUGUUGCCAAGGAAGAACGUCUUCUAGAGUAACUGCUAAGAGAGUGACGGU